GCGACGCGGGGUUCAGCUGGUUUUCUGCGGAGCGCGAGAGGGAACCCGGUGAGAAUCCGGGACUGUCCCGCAGCGGUAUGCAGGAACGACCGCCGUCAACGGCACUGGUCAUUGACUGGGAAGCGACGGCCAUUAGGAGCACCCCGGUGCGUGCCUGCGAGUCCGAAGACCUGCCAGUUGUGCUGGGUGCGC
rnacentral:ncRNA from 2 species